UACGUAGGGUGCAAGCGUUGUCCGGAAUUAUUGGGCGUAAAGCGUGCGCAGGCGGUUUGCUAAGACAGGUGUGAAAUCCCCGGGCUUAACCUGGGAACUGCGCUUGUAACUGGCAAGCUUGAGUGUGGCAGAGGGGGGUGGAAUUCCACGUGUAGCAGUGAAAUGCGUAGAGAUGUGGAGGAACACCGAUGGCGAAGGCAGCCCCCUGGGCUAACACUGACGCUCAUGCACGAAAGCGUGGGGAGCAAACAGG
rnacentral:rRNA from 1 species